UACGUAGGGUGCGAGCGUUGUCCGGAAUUAUUGGGCGUAAAGAGCUCGUAGGCGGUUUGUCGCGUUGUCCGUGAAAACUCACAACUCAAUUGUGGGCGUGCGGGCGAUACGGGCAGACUGGAGUACUGCAGGGGAGACUGGAAUUCCUGGUGUAGCGGUGGAAUGCGCAGAUAUCAGGAGGAACACCGGUGGCGAAGGCGGGUCUCUGGGCCGUAACUGACGCUGAGGAGCGAAAGCGUGGGGAGCGAACAGG
rnacentral:rRNA from 1 species